GACGAACGCUGGCGGCGUGCUUAACACAUGCAAGUCGAACGGUGAACUCCGCUUGCGGGGGGAUCAGUGGCGAACGGGUGAGUAACACGUGGGCAACCUGCCCUCAGCUCUGGGAUAACUCCAAGAAAUUGGGGCUAAUACCGGAUAUGACCGCUGACCGCAUGGUCUGGUGGUGGAAAGAUUUAUCGGCUGGGGAUGGGCCCGCGGCCUAUCAGCUUGUUGGUGGGGUAGUGGCCUACCAAGGCGACGACGGGUAGCCGGCCUGAGAGGGUGACCGGCCACACUGGGACUGAGACACGGCCCAGACUCCUACGGGAGGCAGCAGUGGGGAAUAUUGCGCAAUGGGCGAAAGCCUGACGCAGCGACGCCGCGUGGGGGAUGACGGCCUUCGGGUUGUAACCCUCUUUCAGCAGGGACGAAGCGAAAGUGACGGUACCUGCAGAAGAAGCACCGGCCAACUACGUG
rnacentral:rRNA from 1 species